rnacentral:rRNA from 1 species
CUUACACAUGCAAGUCCAGGGGCAGCAUGAGGUAGCAAUACUUUGGUGGCGACCGGCGCACGGGUGAGUAACGCGUAUGCAACCUUCCUUUUACAGGAGGAUAGCUUCCGGAAACGGAAAUUAAUACUCCAUACAAUUACGAAGUGGCAUCACUUUCAGAUUAAAGCUACGGCGGUAAAAGAUGGGCAUGCGUAACAUUAGCUAGUUGGUGAGGUAAGGGCUCACCAAGGCGACGAUGUUUAGGGGUCCUGAGAGGGUUAUCCCCCACACUGGUACUGAGACACGGACCAGACUCCUACGGGAGGCAGCAGUGAGGAAUAUUGGUCAAUGGGCGCGAGCCUGAACCAGCCAUCCCGCGUGCAGGAAGACGGCCCUAUGGGUUGUAAACUGCUUUUCUGAGGGAAGAAUAACGCUGAUUCGUUCAGUGGACGACGGUACCUCAGGAAUAAGCAUCGGCUAACUCCGUGCCAGCAGCCGCGGUAAUACGGAGGAUGCAAGCGUUAUCCGGAUUCAUUGGGUUUAAAGGGUGCGUAGGCGGACUGGUAAGUCAGUGGUGAAAUCCUGCAGCUUAACUGUGGAAUUGCCAUUGAAACUGUCAGUCUUGAGUCAGGUUGAGGUAGGCGGAAUGUGUAAUGUAGCGGUGAAAUGCGUAGAUAUUACACAGAACACCGAUUGCGUAGGCAGCUUACUGGACCUGCACUGACGCUGAGGCACGAAAGCGUGGGGAUCAAACAGGAUUAGAUACCCUGGUAGUCCACGCCGUAAACUAUGAUUACUCGUUGUUGGCAAUACCAUCGUCAGCGACCAAGCGAAAGCGAUAAGUAAUCCACCUGGGGAGUACGCUCGCAAGGAGUGAAACUCAAAGGAAUUGACGGGGGGGCCCCGGCACAAGCGGUGGAACAUGUGGUUUAAUUCGAUGAUACGCGAGGAACCUUACCUGGGCUUAAAUGUAGACUGCAUAGCGUGGAAACAUGCUUUUCUUCUUAGACUGGUUUACAAGGUGCUGCAUGGUUGUCGUCAGCUCGUGCCGUGAGGUGUCGGGUUAAGUCCCAUAACGAGCGCAACCCUUAUCGUUAGUUGCCCAUCGGGUAAAGCCGGGGACUCUAGCGAAACUGCCACCGUAAGGUGAGAGGAAGGUGGGGAUGACGUCAAAUCAGCACGGCCCUUAUGUCCAGGGCUACACACGUGUUACAAUGGUUAGAACAAAGGGCAGCUACCUGGUGACAGGAUGCUAAUCUCUAAUCUGGCCGAAGUUCGGAUCGGAGUCUGCAACUCGACUCCGUGAAGCUGGAAUCGCUAGUAAUCGCGCAUCAGCCA